GUCUACAGCCGUACCAAGCUGAAUGCACCCAAUCUCAUCUGAUCGUGGAAACUAAGCAGGGUCGGGACUGGUUAGUACUUGGAUGGGAUAUCUUUACUGAUGUUCAGGAGUUUGAAGUAGGAG
ensembl:rRNA 5S_rRNA 5S ribosomal RNA